rnacentral:tRNA from 2 species
GGGGCCGUAGUUUAGCUUGGUAGAAUGCGGGGCUUGGGUCCCCGUGGUCCGGGGUUCAAAUCCCCGCGGCCCCA